GACAACUUGUGAUAUUAAAAUUAAUAUUAUUAUUGUAAAACAUUGACAGUGUUGAGCUACCAGUAAAUAUUAUUAGAAUACAUCCAAAUUUUGCCAACUUAGUUCUUGCCACGUUAUUAACACAUUUAGGGGAUGGAAAGAUGAAAAUGAAAAACUUUAUUUUUGAGUGGCACCCUAAUGGUUACCAAGCAGUCAUGAUAAGAUCUGAAAGUUAGGAGGUGUGGCCACUGGGCAUAUUACAGGCAGUUGAAUUCAGAUGCUCAGAGAGUUCAGAGCCGUUUUCAGGAGCUGUAAGGUAAAAAACAAACUGUGUGAAACAAUGGACUCAUCCUGCACUGAAGCAUUACAAACAGUAAAUGCAAGAUACAGUCUUGAAAACCUGCGCAUAAUAAUUUAAAGCCCUUUUGAAUCUACAGCAUGAAGUGUGUGUCAGUGAGACAGCAAACUCUUACUUACAAGAUGGAGGGCAGUGAGCUGAAAUCAAAACAAAAGACAAAUCAUUUCAGUUCCAGCUGUAAAUGCCAGAAUGUCUUUCGUCACCUUAUCCGCAGUGAACAUGAUCAUCUCUUCUACACACUUAAACCGUUUAGUUUUUUCUUUUCACUUCACUCCCACAUCGUCAUGGUAGAGUCAGUGGGUACUUAAAACUGUGGGUUGUAGGGAACAGAUGCUUGUUAAAUUUUACUUGAUAAAAGCAUCAACUCAAAGACUAAAAUCAAAGAACUGAAAAAAUCACCAUGAUUUUUCUCCCUCACCUUUCUUCUUUUUGUAAGCCCUGAAUCCAGCAGCAGCGAUGAGAAUGAGAGCAAGAACAGCCACUGCAGAAAUGAUGGGGACAGUCACGUUACUGGCCUUCUCUGUUGAACAAAACAACAACAACAACAAAUUAGACCAGAGGCCUGUACCACAAAGCAGGAUUUGAGCUUAUCCAGUUUGGUGAUGAUGUCGUUCUUCACACCAGAGAGCUGAAACACACAUUCGUACUUCUCCCAGUCUUCUGAUGGAGGUUUCAGGUCAACACUCAUCUGGAAGGAUCCAUCGUUGUUGGGGAGGAUCUCUCCGAGGUCCACGUCCUCAUGAAGCUCCUCUUCAUCUUUCCUCCAGAACAUCGUGGCUCUGUCAGGGUAGAAACCUGUAGUGUGGCAGCUGACUGGAGAGGAGGGAGUCUUCUGGAGGAGAGACACUGAGGGAAGGUCUGGAGGGAGAGAGAGAGAGAGAGAGAGAGAGAGAGAGAGAGAGAGAGAGAGAGAGAGAGAGAAAAAAAAUUGCAUUACUACUCAAUAGUAAAUUAAUGAAUAAAGUUUUAUUGUGUUAUGUGUAUAAUUACGCCCAGAUUGCAUAGGCUUACAAGACACCAAAUUGUUUCCAAAAAGAGGAAAUGUCUGGGAAAUAGAGGAUGUAUGCUCACCCUACAAAACUAAAAACAGGUUGUUACACAUUUUCCCGUUACCAUCAGUUAUGCUUUGAUAAAUGUGAAUUGUGUGCUAGACUGAUAAUAUAAACAGUACGUUGUAUGUCAAGUUAGCGCUUCCACGAUGACAGCAUUGAUGACUUUGAUGAGGUCUGCACUCCAGAGCCAAGCACAGACCAGGGACAGGCCCGGAGUCAGGCCGAAGCAAAGGAGGGUAGGCAACCAGGGUCCCAGGAAGAAGACGUAGAGGAGGUUCACGUAAAACACAAAGUUAAUGUUUACCUAACAAUACAAGUUUGACCCUGGUACCAUAUUUACUAUUUGUGGGAAUAUGCAAACUACAUGAGCCCGCAUUCCCCUUCACUUCUGGGAAAGAGGAGAGGAGGAGGGGCUUCUGCGUAAAUAAUGACAACUUCUCUUUCCACCAUUUCUUUCUGCCAUCAACCAUGGCUGAUAUACCAACUGUUGCUGCUUUGUACCUGUUGUGGAAUUCAGAGAUACGUUGGAAAACCAAACGCCGUUGUAUUUAGAUAUAUGAUACCAUCAGGAGACACAGCCCUGUGAAUUUCACCACUUUCUCCAAGAACUGCGCCUGGAUGACUGCCGCUUCCAGCGCUAACUGAGGCUGAGGUUUAUGACAGCAGAAUUAGUGUUUGGUCAACCCAACUGCCAUUCUGACCUGCCACUACCAGGAGCUGACCAACGAGGACCUCAGCCACACUUCUUUAUUGCUCAUGAGGCCAUUCCCUGAGCACAGUAUAUAUACACUGUAUUGCAACACACUAUCCAUAAAAGCAGACACCACUGUUCUUAUCUUUUUAAGAUAUUCAAGACUACAGUAGUUUUAAACUGCCAGCAAAAUAAAUGGAAAAUGUUACCAUCUGCUA